rnacentral:rRNA from 1 species
GUAACAAGGUCUCCGUUGGUGAACCAGCGGAGGGAUCAUUACCGAGUUUUCAACUCCCUAACCCUUCUGUGAACCUACCUAUCGUUGCUUCGGCGGACUCGCCCCAGCCCGGACGCGGACUGGACCAGCGGCCCGCCGGGGACCCCAAACUCUUGUAUUCCAGCAUCUUCUGAAUACGCCGCAAGGCAAAACAAAUGAAUCAAAACUUUCAACAACGGAUCUCUUGGCUCUGGCAUCGAUGAAGAACGCAGCGAAACGCGAUAAGUAAUGUGAAUUGCAGAAUCCAGUGAAUCAUCGAAUCUUUGAACGCACAUUGCGCCCGCCAGCAUUCUGGCGGGCAUGCCUGUUCGAGCGUCAUUUCAACCCUCGACCUCCCCUUGGGGAGGUCGGCGUUGGGGACCGGCAGCACACCGCCGGCCCUGAAAUGGAGUGGCGGCCCGUCCGCGGCGACCUCUGCGCAGUAAUACAGCUCGCACCGGGACCCCGACGCGGCCACGCCGUAAAACACCCAACUUCUGAACGUUGACCUCGAAUCAGGUAGGACUACCCGCUGAACUUAAGCAUAUCAAU